ensembl:lncRNA
GUGGGAAAAGAGGAUUUGUUCAUAGACACUUCAGGCUACACUGACACCCGACAAACGUAGAGAUCUGUGAUGUAGUGGUUAGCGACACAGCCUUUCACGUGGGCGCCUGAUCGAAUCUCAAGAGGGCAAUACUUUCUAUUGCGUUCUGGCUGAACUAGGCAUGCCUGGUUUCUUGCUAUAACCCCAGGAAUGGUUACAUAUAAACCAAGCGAGGAAGUAGGUCUUAAACUCUGUAUUUCAUUUAUUAACAGGAGCCCAUUAACACCAGUCUACAUGAUCACUUUCCACUGCUGGAACAUUCCAGAACUCCAAAACAUAAACAAAUACCUAGCUUCAACACCUGGGGCCCGUUCUUCGUACGUCGCUAACUCAGUUAGCUGGAUUUGAUUGUUGACGAUUUGGCAUGAUCUUGGAUCGUUUGGUUCUUCGAAGCUCAUCCUAGACUUGCUGUCAUAGCAACAGGCUUCCCUAACGUGAUUGGUGCCAUAGACUGCACACACAUCCCCAUCAAGGCCCCACCUGGCCCAAAUGAAGGCGAUUUUGUGAACUGAAAGGGGGUUCACAGUGUAAAUGUGCAGGGGAUUUUGAUGGGAUCCUGCUUGGAGACAGGGGCUAUGCCUGCAGGCAGUAUUUUAUGACGCCCUUCCCUGACCCAAACCCUGGACCACAAACCCAUU